rnacentral:rRNA from 14 species
UCCGACCUCAGAUCAGACGAG